CACAUGCACACACAUACAGUUAGUGGGAAUUAUUCAAGAAUUAAUUUCAACUCUAUAAUUAAAGACGGAUGUAUUUUUGAUGUACGUCAACAAAACCCUUAGGUAAAACCUUAAAAUUCUAAGAAAAAGUGAGCUCAACUAGGCAGUAUGACAUGGUGGUUAAGAAAAUGGCCUUUGGUCUCAAAUCCUGACCCCACCAUUGACAAGCUCUCUGUCUUUGAUGAGUUAAUAUCUACAAUUAUGAGGAUUAAAUGAGUAGAUACAUAUGGCAUGCUUACUACAGUGCCUGGCAAGAUUAAGUGUUCAGUAUCUGUUGUGAUUGUUGUUUCAGGAGAAGAAUCUCUUCUCAUAGAAGUCUCUACCUAAUUGAAAGGUUCGAUUAAACUCUGAGAUUUCAAUUAAAAACCUUGAUUAGGAAGAAACCUACAACCAACUAUUCAUCUGGUACCACUUCCCAGCAUAGGAGCAUGUGUUGGGCUCUUAGGAAGGUUUUUGGAUUAGGGUACUUGUGAAUAGAGUUCUUGAACUGGGUUUUUCCUUACUCCUUUUGUUUCCUUUAUUUCCAUGAUAAUCAUGGUAAUUUUCUGGUCUUUCUAUACGUUGUUGCGCUCUUCAGUUUUUAUCUAAGUGAAACACUGCUUUGUGUUCUUUUAAUGGUGUGGAAGUAAUUGAAGACAAUCAGGGCAAAUUCUUUCAUUGAAUGCAUAUUUAUUGUGUGCUUAAACUAUGCCAGAUAUUACUAAGAUACAGCUUUGGCUUUAGCAGUGCUAACGACAGAAUCCUCCAGGAGAUGGAUCAUAGUGCAAUAGGAGGCCUGCUUUCUGACCUCCCCAGGUGACCCAGCUCUCCCCUACCCUCCCAACAGUACCUGGGCUGGUGUAGGCACUCCCAGCCCGCUGCACGGAAGCCAGAGUGAACAUGUCUGCUCACCGAGAUAAAUGAUCACCAAGAAGCAUUUUGUUUCCAAAACUAUGUAUGGCAUUCUUGUUCCUGUCAUUGGCAUAAUUUAAUUAAAUGGAAUGAAAACUGAUGAAAUGUGUGUGCUAAAACAGAGAGACCAUCAUUUCUAUGAAAACCUUUGGAAAGACUCCAUAAAGACAAAUUACUAUCAGAUUGGAUAAAGAUGGGGCAAUUAUAAAAGAGUAGGGACAAAAUCAUAAAAAUACAGACAGCUUCCAUGUGCUGUUUUCACCUUUGCUCUACAUGUGACUUUAAGUCUUUAUUCUUCUUUAAAGAAAACAGUUCUGAGAAUCUUCAGCAUUGUUUCAUGGGUGUUAUUUCCAUAAGGAAGACUGAGAAACUCCAUCAUUGAUCCUACUCAAAGGAAAAUCUUUGCAAAUAAAAGUACAUUUAAAUGUUUGCUAAAACAUGAAAGAUAUGCAUUUUUAUGAUUCCUCAUUUUAGCUCCUUUGUUGAUUAACUGGUCUCAGGUGUGGCACCUUUAUCAAUGAUCUGUCCUUGAGGGGUGUGCACUUAGGGGCUUGGUCUAUGAGUUUGUCAGUUAGUGGGAAACAUGUUUUGUUGAAGAACCCAGGGUCCUCCAAAUUGAUGGUGAGUACAUAAACGAUUUAAAUAUGACUUGAUUGACAUUAACCUUGAAAAUUAUUUUGUAUUCUCUUAAGAUAUUACAAUGGUUAACCUAACUUGAAUCUUGUCCUAGGAGGUUUAGUAAAGGCAAGCCUCACACUUCUAAAAGAGAUCACACUGUAGUUAGAAUGGAGUUGUUUUCAGAAAACAAUUUGUACAGGGAUUAAGAAUUAGAAAACUCCAUAGUUUCUCUGUACUCUUAAGUCACAAUUUCAAUGUCUAGCUACAUUAGUUUCUUUAAGUGAAAUCACAGAUCAUCAUCUAUAUCCAUAUUCAAAUGUGGACCACUCCAAUUCCAAAGACAAAUAGAAUGACUUGGGUUAUUUAAUAAGUCUUAGAGAACUGUUAUUCUGGCCUACUCUCAGUGGAUGCUCUCAGGGCCUUCAGCCAACUACCUGCUCCCUGUAAUAUGUCCUGUGCUCCCCACUCUCACAUAUAGACCUGCCAAGUUCAUUGGCCUCCUGUAGUAUUUACCUCCUAACCUCCUCCUUUUGUGACAGUGAUCUUCUUUUUCAGAUACGUAAAUGAGUUGCCUCCAAACUUGCCUCCUUUCUCCAUUUUUCUAUUUUAUUCUUUUGGGGAAUGAUGUGAUAAGAAAGCAUUUUGGUUUUAUUUUUUUUCCCCCAGGGUGACUAGUUUUGCUUCAGAAAAUGGAAGGAGACUUUAAAAACAUAUGACUACCAGUGUUUGUUGUAUUGGAUGGAGUGUUGAGAAGUCCUUAGUCCAAGGGGAAUGUGUUAGGGAGGCCUUGUGUGGCAGGGGACUCCUCUGGAGGAAAAGUGAGAUGUUGGGGCCAUUCCAGAGGCAGGGGUGAGCCUGGGAAUGGUGAAAUCUGAGACCAUCCAUAUGGAUUUCUUAGGGAGAGUGAAGAGCAUGAAUUGGGGGAUGAUGGAUAAGGUGUAGGGAAACUGAUGGAGGGCCCAGAGCUCAUGGUGAAAAGUUUACAUUCCAUUCCAUUCCAAAUGGUCUCUUCUGACAUGCCAAGGGCCAAACUGCAGGAAUCGUUUCCUCUCACUAAUGUAACUCUUCUUGGCCAAUCCAGGGACAUAAAAGCCAGUAGGUUGGACACUGAAUCUGUCACAUCUCCCAUUAUGAGAUUGAGCUUCCGGCCCUCUCGUUAAUCUAGGGAGAAGCCCCCACCCCCCCCCAAAAAAAAUCUAGGGAGAAGCCCUAUGGGUGAUUUGGGAGUUUGUCUCUGUGAAGCCUGGCCCCGUGCUUGUAGACAACACGGCUGUCCUCCACACUGUUCCACACCCUCCUCUACCUCAGUGGCUUCCUACUCUUUCUACAUCAGUCCAGACCACUAUGGUCUACCCAGCCUUCUUUCCAUUGUUCAGUCCAUCUGGCCUUUUCGGUUUCUGCUAUCCUAUGGGCCAGGUUCCAGUUCUGUGUGCCUGUGUCCUUAGAUAAUUUCUUUGCUGAAAUAUAAAACCUCCAGGGUAAUUGUUCUUUAGGUUAUCCUUCAUGCUUUCACAUAACUUGUUUUAUUUCCAUUUAAGAUGCUAUUUCUGAGUUUCUGGGCUAUGCUGGGAAUGCAGAGAAGAUAAAUUGCACUCCUGCUCUCUAAGAAGGCUUGGACCCGUGGGAGAGCGUUUCAGUACUCAUUUUUGAUGUCUGUCUUCUUGUUUUUUCCCUCAAUUAAAAUAGCGCCUUUAAAUUCAUAUUUAUCAACAUCUACACUUUGUUUAAUAACCUGUUUCCUUUGGGAAGGUCUUCCCACAUUGAUGAUACCCCAAGCCCAAAAUGUUGUGGUAGUACUCUAGGUCAGAUCCCACUUUAAGAAAUACUUAACUGUUUUUUGCAUUGGAAUUUUGUUUCAAAAAUUGGAUCAGGCUUGAAUUAUCACUUUCUCCGCAUCCUAGGCAUUGAUACAUUAAUUGGAUUGGGUGAAAUGGUGUCAGUUUGACAAGUCAUAAUUUUCUGAUUGUAUUGUUAUGUUAUAAUUUUUUGUUUGUUUUGUUGUCACUUCUGUUUUCCAUUUGCCUCACCUUAAGUCUGUAGCUUAAAAGCUUCAGAGGGGCUUUAGUUUCUUUUAUAAUCCCACAAGGUGCCAUGUUGCAAACACUGGAUUAAAUUAGAAGCCAGGAGAGUUAUAGAUUCCCAGGUGCUUAUAAAUGCAAGAUGUUCAUAUUAGCACUGUCAUUUCUUCCUAAUUAAUACAAUGUGUUCCAAUCCCCUUUUCUUAUGUUACUAAAAAUUGACUAUUUCCAAAGAGGUUAAGAACUAUGAAAGGGAAAGAUUUUGAAUGUUGUAGGAAA
rnacentral:lncRNA from 1 species